rnacentral:rRNA from 1 species
GACGAACCGUGCGAACGUUGUUCGGAAUCACUGGGCUUAAAGGGCGCGUAGGCGGGCCGGAUAGUCUGCGGUGAAAUCCUCCAGCUUAACUGGAGAAGUGCCGUGGAUACUGCCGGUCUCGAGGAAGGUAGGGGCAUCUGGAACGCUGGGUGGAGCGGUGAAAUGCGUUGAUAUCCAGCGGAACUCCGGUGGCGAAGGCGAGGUGCUGGACCUUUUCUGACGCUGAUGCGCGAAAGCCAGGGGAGCAAACGGG